rnacentral:rRNA from 1 species
AUUGAACGCUGGCGGCAGGCUUAACACAUGCAAGUCGAACGAGUGGCGGACGGGUGAGUAAUGCUUGGGAAUCUAGCUUAUGGAGGGGGAUAACUACGGGAAACUGUAGCUAAUACCGCGUACCAUAGGAUGAGCCCAAGUGGGAUUAGGUAGUUGGUGAGGUAAAGGCUCACCAAGCCGACGAUCUCUAGCUGGUCUGAGAGGAUGACCAGCCCACCUGGGACUGAGAAACGGGCCAGACUCCUACGGGAGGCAGCAGUGGGGAAUAUUGCGCAAUGGGGGCAACCCUGACACAGCCAUGCCGCGGGAAUGAAGAAGGCCUUCGGGUUGUAAAGUACUUUCAGCGGGGAGGCGUUACCCGCAGAAGAAGCACCGGCUAACUCCGUGCCAGCAGCCGCGGUAAUUC